AUGUUCUUGGAGUUGCGAGUGAGGAGGUGACUUUCUUUGCCCAGGCUUUCCUGGUCAGCAACUCCACUGUUGAAGAGAAUAUAAAAUGACAGCUAAUCCUCCAGGGCUCCAGUUUUUAUUUCCACCUGCCUGCUAGACCAUGCCACUCGGAUGGCCAACAGGAAUUUAUUUUAUAUUGAAACUAAUCAUGGAGUUUCCGGUUGAGCAGCAUUCAUAGGAAUGAAGACGAACACAGACAUGGUGUGUCUAAGAAACUUCAAAAGGUGCAGACCUCCUGACUGAAGCAUAACUGAUUUAUUUGAUUCAUUUUUUUUUUCAUUAUAUUUCUGUACUUCUAUAAGGGAAAGUCAUGAUUACACUAACAGAGCUAAAAUGUCUCGCAGACGCCCAGUCAUCUUACCACAUCCUAAAACCAUGGUGGGACGUCUUCUGGUAUUACAUCACCCUGAUCAUGCUGCUGGUGGCUGUGCUGGCCGGAGCACUCCAGCUCACGCAGAGCAGGGUUCUGUGCUGUCUUCCAUGCAAAGUGGAAUUCGACAAUCACUGUGCCGUGCCUUGGGACAUCCUGAAAGUUAGCGUGAACAUGUCCUCUAAUCCUGGGACACCACUCCCGCUCCCCCUCCGGAUCCAGAAUGACCUCCACCGCCAGCAGUACUCCUACAUCGAUGCCGUCUGUUACGAGAAGCAGCUCCAUUGGUUUGCAAAGUUCUUCCCCUACCUGGUGCUCUUGCACACGCUCAUCUUUGCAGCCUGCAGCAACUUUUGGCUUCACUACCCCAGUACCAGUUCCAGGCUCGAGCAUUUUGUGGCCAUCCUUCACAAGUGCUUUGAUUCUCCGUGGACCACCCGCGCCCUUUCAGAAACGGUGGCCGAGCAGUCGGUCAGGCCCCGGAAACUCUCCAAGUCCAAGACUUUGCUUUCGACCUCAGGGUGUUCAGCUGACAUUGAUUCGAGCAAGCAGUCGUUGCCAUACCCACAGACAGGCUUGGAGUCCGCCGGCAUAGAAAGCUCAACUUCCAGUGUCCUGGACAAGAAGGAGGGCGAGCAGGCCAAAGCCAUCUUUGAAAAGGUGAAGAGAUUCCGCCUGCACGUGGAGCAGAAGGACAUCAUUUAUAGAGUGUACCUGAAGCAAAUUAUAGUCAAAGUCAUUUUGUUUGUCCUCAUCAUAACGUAUGUUCCAUACUUCUUAACCUACAUCAGUCUGGAAAUCGACUGUUCAGUUGAUGUGCAGGCUUUUACAGGAUAUAAGCGCUACCAGUGUGUCUACUCCUUAGCAGAAAUAUUUAAGGUCCUGGCUUCGUUCUAUGUCAUCUUGGUUAUACUUUAUGGUCUCACCUCCUCCUACAGCUUGUGGUGGAUGUUGAGGAGUUCCCUGAAGCAAUAUUCCUUUGAGGCAUUAAGAGAAAAGAGCAACUACAGUGAUAUCCCUGAUGUUAAGAACGACUUUGCCUUCAUCCUUCAUCUUGCUGACCAGUAUGAUCCUCUUUAUUCCAAACGCUUCUCCAUAUUUCUCUCAGAGGUCAGUGAGAACAAACUUAAACAGAUCAAUCUCAAUAACGAAUGGACCGUGGAGAAACUGAAAAGUAAGCUUGUGAAAAAUGCCCAGGACAAGGUAGAACUGCAUCUUUUUAUGCUCAGUGGUCUUCCCGACAAUGUCUUUGAGUUAACCGAAAUGGAAGUGCUGAUCCUAGAGCUCAUCCCUGAGGUCAAGUUGCCUCCCGCAGUCUCCCAGCUGGUCAACCUCAGGGAGCUGCAUGUGUGCCAUUCGUCUCUGGUGGUCGACCAUCCUGCAUUGGCCUUUCUGGAGGAGAAUUUAAAAAUCCUCCGUCUGAAAUUCACUGAGAUGGGAAAAAUCCCACGCUGGGUAUUUCAUCUGAAGAAUCUCAGAGAACUUUAUCUGUCGGGCUGUGUCCUCCCUGAGCAGCUGAGUACCAUGCAGUUGGAGGGCUUUCAGGACUUAAAAAAUUUGAGGACCCUCUACUUGAAGAGCAGCCUCUCCCGGAUCCCACAAGUUGUGACAGACCUCCUGCCUUCACUGCAGAAGCUGUCGCUAGAUAACGAAGGAAGCAAACUGGUCAUGUUGAACAACUUGAAAAAGAUGGUCAACCUGAAGAGCCUGGAACUGCUCAGCUGUGACCUGGAACGCAUUCCACACUCCAUUUUCAGCCUGAACAAUUUGCAUGAGCUAGACCUGAAGGAAAAUAACCUUAAAACCGUGGAAGAGAUCAUUAGCUUUCAGCAUCUUCAGAAUCUUUCCUGCUUAAAACUAUGGCACAAUAACAUUGCUUAUAUUCCUGCCCAGAUUGGGGCAUUAUCUAACCUAGAGCAGCUCUUCUUGGACCAUAAUAAUAUUGAGAAUCUGCCCUUGCAGCUUUUCCUAUGCACCAAACUACACUAUUUGGAUUUAAGCUAUAACCACCUGACCUUCAUUCCAGAAGAAAUCCAGUAUCUGAGUAAUCUGCAGUACUUUGCUGUGACCAACAACAAUAUUGAGAUGCUACCAGAUGGGCUGUUUCAGUGCAAAAAGCUGCAGUGUUUACUUUUGGGGAAAAAUAGCCUGAUGAAUCUGUCCCCUCUGGUGGGUGAGCUGUCGAACCUUACUCAUCUGGAGCUCAUUGGUAAUUACCUGGAAACACUUCCUUCUGAGCUGGAAGGAUGUCAGUCUCUAAAACGGAGCUGUCUGAUUGUCGAGGACAAUUUGCUCAGUACUCUUCCUCUGCCUGUAACAGAACGCUUGCAGACAUGCUUAGAUAAAUGUUGAUCUAAAGAGAAGAGACCCGUGUCUCAAAAUCCUUUUCAAAAGUAUGCCUCAGGGCUUUAAAUGAGAAGCAAACUUCCCCAAUUUAUAACGAUGAAAAAUGGAUGAUUCUGACGAACCAAGUGUCUUAGUAAAACAACCCAGUGUCUAGCCCUGAAUUAAACAGAACUUCUCUAUGGCUAGUCACCUAUUCAGUUCAACUACGAAAGUCAUCGGCUACAUCUUUAUUACCCAUGUAAGUUUCUAGAAACCAUUUACUAGUAAGAUUAAUAGUGAAUCUAUAAACUGCUUUCCAUACACUAACUAGGGUAUAGUUACUAGUGCAAACUAUGUUGCUCUUGAUACCAUUGUUUCUAAAUUUCUUUUUGAAUUUUAAUCUUAUACACCAGUGUUUAUGUAGCUUUUGAAAUAACACAGCACUGGCACAUGAAUAACGAAACCACCACUUGACAUACAAAACUAUGGUGUUAAUACCACCUUUACUGUACUAUGGGGCAGGUCUUUAUUUUAUGUGUUCAUAUUCAUUAUAGAGACUUUUAAGUGAAGAAAAUGAAACUUGUUAAAUUAUAUGACUUUAGUUAGCAUUUGAUUUCCAAGGAUGGAUAUGCAUUUUCCAAACAAUAAAUGGGGGUGGGGGGGUUAUUCAGAACAAAGUUUAUGGCUUCUGCUAGCAAUGGCAUGGGUUGCUUUUAUUUGCACGUACAUAACCACAUCCACAUACACAUACAUGUACCCAUGUAUACACAUUUAUAACUUAUUUGUUUCUGGUAUGCUUAAUAUUUUUUCCAAAAUUACAAGAGGUUGGAAGUUAAUACUAGGCUGGCAUUUUUUUGUAUUCAUUACUUGUAAUAUGGAGAUUCUAUUCCCUUAGUUAUGACAUUUCAGAGAAAACCAAAUGCUCAACCUUAGCUUGAGAACCCAAGUGUUUUCCAGCCUUCCUGGGAAGAGGUAGUAUUCUUUCCCUCACCUACGUCAGGGUACAUCUGCCAGUGCAGUACAUAGAUACUGUAUUUCCAUUCUUCAUUCUGUCUUAACGCUUGCCCCUGUAUGUCACCAUAGCUCACUGCCGUUUAAUGAAUGUUUGUGUUAAACAGGGUAAACGGAGCUCCUGGACCUCAGUGCUGUGACAGCUCCCAUAGGUGUGCCCAGGUGUGCUGCCAUGAUUUAUCUGCAUAACAUUAUUGUUCCAUGGUGAAAGUAUUUGGUCCUGUUUGUUAAAUGUUUCAUGAUUCAUAUUUGUAUGUUUAAUUAAAAUAUUGCAUAAUACUGAUGGGUUCAGAAACCAUUAAAAUAAUCAAACAAUUAUUCUGUGGACUUAACGUUAUUUCCUGUAUUUUCAAUGAAAUUUUCUUGCCAUUUUUUUCAUUUUUCUAUUCUCUCAGCAUCCUCCUAUUCACCUAAGGUGUUUUGCUUUCCUUCUCCACUCGCCCACCCCGUUAACUGUGAUCAGCAAUUGUAUAAGGCAGAAUAUAGUCACCCUAGAACACUCGCAGUGAGGGUUGAGCAUCUGUUUAUUUGAGUAGAAGCCAGGUCUGUAAUGUUUAAUUGAGUAGUUUCUACUCCACCUAUCCCUGCAGUAUUUAGAGCUGAUCCUAACAUCCUUCGCCCCCACCAAAAGCAUGAGAGGCUAACUAGAGAUCCACUUUGUUUCCUGCACUUCAGAUCAGAAUCUAUGUUUCCUUCUUUCUAGAAACAAAAGAAAGAUUGGUGGGAGAGAGGAGGAGUUAUUUUGCAUCCUGGUUUGCAUUACAAAGACAUUAUGUAUAUGAAAUGGCAUAAACUAAAAACAUGUUGCAAAACUUGGCUUGGAUAUAAUUAUCUUCAACUGGCUGUGGAAAACUAUUUCAUUGGUUUCAUCUUGUUUCUUGCCCAUCACUACUACAUCCACUGGAAGGUAUCUACUGAUACCUUUGGUAACAGACUCCAUUCUGUUCUACUGUUUUUAUAUGGACAAUAUCAUCAGCACUAAAGCAUUAAUAUAGGAUAUAUGAGCCAAAGUAUGCAUUGAGAUGCUUCCAAUGGAACUUCAUUUCACGUUUAAGUUUUGCUUUUGACUUGUAUACUACACUACUGCUGAGAAAAGCAAUUACGAAUGCCUUCAGCACGUUGCACAUCAUCUCUAACAGAGAGGGUGCAAUUUUAAAUACAAAGGGUUAUAAUGGAUGUGUUUGUGCAUAUAUGUUGUGUACAAGCCUAACUAUGAAUGUUUACAAGAAGAUUUUUUUUAAUUCUUCAAAUGUCUCACUCUCAGUGAAAGAGUGAGCCAGUAAUUGAGACAUUUUCUUUUGUUAGCUCAUAAUGAAGGCUGGCACUUAUUUUAUCUUUGUCACAUAUUUGGAAACAUAUACUAUUGUUUUCUUUUUGCUUCUGGUAAUGAAUUAUUAGAAAGUGUAAGAUUUCGUUCCAUGUUUUUGGCCCUCAGGUUUACCG